rnacentral:rRNA from 1 species
CGGACGGGUGAGUAAUGUCUGGGAAGCUGCCUGAUGGAGGGGGAUAACUACUGGAAACGGUAGCUAAUACCGCAUAACGUCGCAAGACCAAAGAGGGGGACCUUAGGGCCUCUUGCCAUCGGAUGUGCCCAGAUGGGAUUAGCUUGUUGGUGGGGUAACGGCUCACCAAGGCGACGAUCCCUAGCUGGUCUGAGAGGAUGACCAGCCACACUGGAACUGAGACACGGUCCAG